GAAUCGCUAGUAAUCGUGGAUCAGAAUGUCACGGUGAAUACGUUCCCGGGCCUUGUACACACCGCCCGUCACACCAUGGGAGUGGACUGCACCAGAAGUGGUUAGCCUAACUUCGGAGGGCGAUCACCACGGUGUGGUUCAUGACUGGGGUGAAGUCGUAACAAGGUAGCCGUAGGGGAACCUGCGGCUGGAUCACCUCCU
rnacentral:rRNA from 1 species